GCCGGGGGAAGCGGAGGAAUGAACGGGAGACGAAAAUCGGGGGUCGGGAGAAUGCUGCCCGUCUAAAUACACGCGGAAUGCACGAAGACCGCCGAGUCGGGAUGCGCGUCUGCAGCGCAAAAACGCCGGCUGGGAAUGUCCCGGGCUGAUUUCCGAAGAACGGGGUUUACGAAGACCCGGUUCAGGAUGACUUACGGGCUGAUUCUGUUCCUGUUGCUGCCUCAUAAAUAAACACGCUGAAAUCAUCUGAAAGAUCGUCUGUGAAAAGCACAGAAGCUCCCCAGGCCACAAAAAUGAAAAAGUCCUAGUCCAUAGAGCAUUACUGCCGAAGCUUCAGACAAGACGUGUGCAGUAUAUGAAUUCAGAGGCUGUGUUCGCAAGAAGGCAGAGGAAGGUGGUGUCUGGAAAGAAAGCUAGUUCCUUGGAAGGAUCUCUGAAAGAAAUGGCAUAAAUCUGUAAUGACAGUAAAGGAAAGGAAUACCUAUGUAAAUCAUCAUUUGUCUCCAACCACAGCCAACCUGAUGCCUCUGGAAGCUGAUGGACAGGGUUGGAGUUAUGAAAAUCCUCCUCCAGUGCCAUCCAGAUUCUUGUUGUCUUGCAACAGACUUAAUGGGGUAAAGUACUCCUACUGAGAAUUGGAGUCAUCCAUACUAAUUGUUACAAUGUCCCUCUCUACAGCUGCUUCCACCAAAUCUUUCCAUUUCCUUUUCAUCUAAGUAACGUUGUGUAUUCUGCAGCCAUUGAACCUACCAGCCCUCACUGAAAUAUUUACUUCAAGUUUCAGAGUACUCCUGCAAAUCUCGGAUUCCUCUCUUCUUCUGUACUGUGGGUUACCACUCAAUAUAGCUCAUGGCAGGUCAACUUAGAGACUGUAAUUGAUAUGACAGGUAGACUCUUGUGGGUGGAAUUAGGCUGAUCUAAUAGAAGGAGCCUUAAAUGGAUAGAGGCAAGGAAAAAUACAUGAUGUGGCUAGCCAUUUUUAAUGUGCCAUUUCCUCUGUCUCAAUCUGUUCCCAAAAGAGCAGAUUAGACUGGCAUCUAUUCCAAGAUGAAUCCACUUACAUCAUACUUGUACAGAUUAUAUAGUCAUGUGUAAUUUCUAGUCUUGAAUUAUUGAGCUAUUACUAUAGCAUUCAUGAGUAAAAUGCAGAUGUAAACCUACUAUUGUUUAAAAAGGCAUAAAACUAGGAAACCUAGAGGGCAAUGCAGUCUGUCACCCAAGAGCUCUACCCGAUUGGAGGACACAAAUGAACAAACAGAGUUUGGGGAAGAGCUGGCAAAUGCUCAAAUUAGUAUUAGUUCUAUGCUGCUGGCUUGGAACAAUGGCUGAAUCACAACUAUGUCUGAAAAAGAAGGCAAACAUUUCAGUGCUCAUUUUUAAUGACAAGUUCAUGAUGUGAUGCUGGGGGAAGAAUCUGGCCUUGUUAGUCACAAGAAUUCAGAACAACCCUGAGAAUCAUGCUAACACUGCCUGCAGCUCCAUAACUGGUUCCCCCGAGGAGAUGUGAGCCUUGUCAGCACAGAGCUAUUAAAAACCUCUUCCUUGUCAUUCAUACCAUGGUCAACAAGACUUCCUGACUAGCAUCUAUAUUACAGUAUGCUGUAAAACUGUAGGAGGCGAUUAAAGGCCUAGAAUUACAGGUAACAAACAAGAUUGAUUUGAUAACCCAUGCUAGUUAAGACAAUUAGCUGCAAUGACAUUAACUCACUGGGUGACAUUGGGCAAGGUAGAAGUAAAUCUGUAUGCAUUAGUAGUGUAUGCAUUAGCACAUUAUAGUGUGCUAUAACUCUCAAACCUAGGCCACUCUUCCCCACGUGUGGUGACAAGCAGAUUUGUUGGAACGGCGUCUGAAGUAAUAGGACUGAAAGGGGCACAAGCACUUAGAAAAUGUGAAUGUAAAUAGUAUAUUAGGAAGAAAAAUUGCACUGAUCCUGUGAGAAGGAAGUCAAAUUCUUCCCCCCAUGUCAGGAGGAAGUCAAAGCUUCCCAUCUGCUCACCCUACCAUUGUUUAUCUUAACAGCAAUCAAGGCUUAUGACUAAAUUAUAG